rnacentral:rRNA from 1 species
CAGGCCUAACACAUGCAAGUCGAACGCAGUAGCAAUACUGAGUGGCAAACGGGUGAGUAUAAUGUGGGUAUCUGCCUUUUGGUUUGGAAUAACACGAGGAAACUUGUGCUAAUACCGGAUAAGCCUUUACAGGGAAAGUUUUAUACGCCGAAAGAUGAGCCCGCACUUGAUUAGUUAGUUGGUGAGGUAAAAGCUCACCAAGACAAUGAUCAAUAGCUGGUCUGAGAGGACGAUCAGCCACAUUGGGACUGAGACACGGCCCAGACUCCUACGGGAGGCAGCAGUGGGGAAUAUUGGACAAUGGAGGAAACUCUGAUCCAGCAAUGCCGCGUGUGUGAUGAAGGCCCUAGGGUUGUAAAGCACUUUCAUUGGUGAAGAUGAUGACGGUAACUAAAGAAGAAGCCCCGGCUAACUUCGUGCCAGCAGCCGCGGUAAUACGAAGGGGGCGAGCGUUGUUCGGAAUUACUGGGCGUAAAGGGAGCGCAGGCGGUUCAUUUAGUUAGGCGUGAAAGCCCCGGGCUCGACCUGGGAACUGCGCUUAAUACUGAUGAACUAGAAAACAGAAGAGGAUAGUGGAAUUCCCAGUGUAGAGGUGAAAUUCGUAGAUAUUGGGAAGAACACCGGUGGCGAAAGCGGCUAUCUGGUCUGA